UACGGAGGGUGCAAACGUUGCUCGGAAUCAUUGGGCGUAAAGCGCACGUAGGCGGCUCGUUAAGUUGGAUGUGAAAGCCCGGGGCUCAACUCCGGAACUGCCUUUAAGACUGCAUCGCUUGAAUCCGGGAGAGGUGAGUGGAAUUCCGAGUGUAGAGGUGAAAUUCGUAGAUAUUCGGAAGAACACCAGUGGCGAAGGCGGCUCACUGGACCGGUAUUGACGCUGAGGUGCGAAAGCGUGGGGAGCAAACAGG
rnacentral:rRNA from 1 species